GUUGCACUCUGUGGAAAAGUUACUACAUAGUGCUUUAAAAUCCUGCUGAGCCUUUUCUUAAGCCAGUCUUCAGGACAGCCUGAUGGGUUUGGGUUUGGUGUUUGCUUUGAAGUCCCCAUGGCUGCAUUUCAAACUGCUCAGCUUCCUGAUGCUUCUUGACUUCACCAACUUUGUUUCAAUGUGCUGCUGGAUUGAGUUAUCAGUGUUGUCUCCCCUUGUCUGCAGCCUUGACCUGUCUGCUGCCUCCGUGCAGUGCUGGGGACCAACAAGAAGCCCUGCUCUGAGACAGCAUUUGCUGAACAAACGUGAGGCAGCCACCAUGUGAGGAAAGGGGGUAUGGCGCCAGCCUGAGGACCAUGCUGUGGAUGGAAGUGCGUCUGGCGUGGGUUUGUCCUGUGCUAUUUUAAAAAGGGUUUAAAAACAACUCAAGGGCUUGUCUUGUGUGAAUAGCUGUGCAUCUAACAACAGGCAUCAGACUUGCCUACAUGAGAUAGGGCUAAAUCUGGAGGUUUUGGCUCAGAUGCAAUGUUUGUCUGUAAUCCUCCUGGAACUUGACUAGCAGCAGGUGUAAGUGGAAGGGGAGCUGUGGUUGGUAGGGGGUUAAACCAGUCACCCACCUCGCCCCACAAAGCUACUGAUCAUCCAUCUGGAGCAAGAGGGUCUCCGUCUGCUUGAUACCAAAUAUCUCUGUCCAUCUCUAUGGUGCUGUGCUCGGCCACGGCAGCAGCAGGGCCUCUGCUGGUGCUGGUUCCUCAUCUCCCGGCCAGGUUUGGUGAGCUCGGAUGCCACCUAGCUGCUCUGUUCUUGUCUCCUACUGCCGCGCUCAGCCCCGUCUGAAAGGCAGUAUGGGAACUGAAUGGAAUAAAAUCCAACCAGAAAGGCAGACAUUGCUGUUUUAAAGUAGCUUCAAAGAAUACUUGAUACAACCAGUACUUUACCUCUGUUUGCUGCUAAAAGCUGUGUGUGUUAAAGUUGGCUUAACUGAGUAAAUGGCUUAAAAUGCUUGGGUCUGCAAAACAUUUUGCUUUGUAAUUGUUAUGAUGUCUUGGGGCACAUUUUUUGGAAUAGGUGUUGCAAGACAAAGCAGAAUUCAUUUUCCUCCUUUUUUUUUUUUUCUCUGUUAUUACUGUUUUAACUGGAGAAAGUGGAACAUGUGCUGCUGAUUAAAACACGGCGUUGUA
rnacentral:lncRNA from 1 species